CCGAGUUAGGGUCCUUAUGGGCCCGACCUCCAACCCGGUGUUUAAGUUACUCUGUUGCUUUGGCAGACCCGCCCUUUGGGGCCGCCGGAGAUUCCUCUUUGGCCCGUGUCUGCCAUUAGCCUUCUCCAAAUUCUUUUAAUCAUGGCAAGACUGAAAACAAAAACAAUCGUUA
rnacentral:misc_RNA from 1 species